rnacentral:rRNA from 1 species
UACGUAGGGUGCAAGCGUUGUCCGGAUUUAUUGGGCGUAAAGAGCUCGUAGGCGGUUUGUCGCGUCGGAUGUGAAAACCCAGGGCUCAACCCUGGGCCUGCAUUCGAUACGGGCAGACUAGAGUAUGGCAGGGGAGACUGGAAUUCCUGGUGUAGCGGUGAAAUGCGCAGAUAUCAGGAGGAACACCGGUGGCGAAGGCGGGUCUCUGGGCCAAAACUGAC